AUGACCUGGCGGCAGCUUACCAUGCAAGUCGAACGGUUGAAGGGUGCUUGCACCUGGAUAUAGUGGCGAACGGGUGAGUAAAGCUUAGGAAUCUGGCUAUUAAUGGGGGACAACAAUUCGAAAGGAUUGCUAAUACCGCAUACGCCCUACGGGGGAAAGCAGGGGACUUUUAGGAGCCUUGCGUUAAUAGAUGAGCCUAAGUUGGAUUAGCUAGUUGGUGGGGUAAAGGCCUACCAAGGCGACGAUCCAUAGCGGGUCUGAGAGGAUGAUCCGCCACACUGGGACUGAGACACGGCCCAGACUCCUACGGGAGGCAGCAGUGGGGAAUAUUGGACAAUGGGGGGAACCCUGAUCCAGCCAUGCCGCGUGUGUGAAGAAGGUCGUAAGAUUGUAAAGCACUUUAAGUGGGGAGGAGAGUAUCAAUGAUAAUACCAUUGGAUACUGGACGCUACCCACAGAAUAAGCACCGGCUAACUCUGUGCCAGCAGCCGCGGUAAU
rnacentral:rRNA from 1 species